rnacentral:rRNA from 1 species
GCAUGCAGGUCGUACGAGGCCAGUCGGGGAGCAAUCCCUGGCUGAGUCGAGUGGCUUAAGGGGCAGUAAGGCGUGGGUAACCUGCCCCCCGGACCGGGAUAGCCUCGGGAAACUGAGGGUAAUACCGGGCGAUGUCUUGGUGGCGCCUGCGGCCAAGACCAAAGGGUUUCCCUUCGGGGAAGCCGCCGGGGGAGGGGCUCACGUGGUAUUAACUAGACGGCGGGGUAACGGCCCACCGUGGCGAAGAUGCCUAGCGGGUGUGAGAGCACGACCCGCGCCACUGGCACUGAGACACUGGCCAGACUCCUACGGGAGGCUGCAGUCGAGAAUCUUCGGCAAUGGGCGCCAGCCUGACCGAGCGACGCCGCGUGAAGGAAGAAGGCCUUCGGGUUGUAAACUCCUGUCACCGGGGAAGAAAGCCUGCCUACGGGCAGGUGUGACUGAGCCGGGGAGGAAGCACGGGCUAAGUUCGUGCCAGCAGCCGCGGUAAGACGAACCGUGCGAACGUUGUUCGGAAUCACUGGGCUUAAAGGGCGCGUAGGCGGCCAGGUGGGUCCGGGGUGAAAGCUCUCGGCUCAACCGAGACAGGGCCUCGGAAACUACCUGGCUGGAGGGGGAGCGGGGCCGUCGGAACUUCCGGUGGAGCGGUGAAAUGCGUUGAGAUCGGAAGGAACGCCGGUGGCGAAGGCGGACGGCUGGAUCCCUACUGACGCUGAGGCGCGAAAGCCAGGGGAGCAAACGGGAUUAGAUACCCCGGUAGUCCUGGCCCUAAACGAUGGGCACUGGGUAGUGGACCCUGCGGGGUUCGCUGCCGGAGCGUAAGUGGUAAGUGCCCCGCCUGGGGAGUAUGGUCGCAAGGCUGAAACUCAAAGGAAUUGACGGGGGCUCACACAAGCGGUGGAGCAUGUGGCUUAAUUCGAGGCUACGCGAAGAACCUUAUCCUGGGCUUGACAGGUGCGCAAGCGGCAGGCAGUAGCUGCCGGAAACGGCCAGCGACUGGUACCCAGUCCAGAACCUGCCACAGGUGCUGCAUGGCUGUCGUCAGCUCGUGUCGUGAGAUGUCGGGUUAAGUCCCAGAACGAGCGAAACCCCUGUCCGCAGUUGCCAGCGGUUCGGCCGGGGACUCUGCGGAGACUGCCGGCGUCAAGCCGGAGGAAGGUGGGGAUGACGUCAAGUCAUCAUGGCCCUGAUGCCCAGGGCUGCACACGUGCUACAAUGGCGCGGACAAAGGGACGCCAAGCCGCAAGGCCGAGCCAAUCCCAAAAAACGCGCCCCAGUUCAGAUCGGGGGCUGCAACUCGCCCCCGUGAAGGCGGAAUCGCUAGUAAUCGCGGGUCAGCAACACCGCGGUGAAUGUGUUCCUGAGCCUUGUACACACCGCCCGUCAAGCCACGAAAGGGAGGGGCAUCCGAAGUCGCCUGCGGGGCGCCGAA